AGUCGAGCGGGAAGCCCUUGGGGCAGUCAGCGGCGGACGGGUGAGAAACGCGUAAGAAUCUGCCCUUCAGUGAAGAAUACCUCCGAGAAAUCGGAGUUAAUACUGCAUUCGUCCCUACGGGGAGAAAGAUGGCCUCUUUGCUGUCGCUGAUGGAUGAGCUUGCGUACUAUUAGCUAGUUGGUGGGGUAAAGGCCUACCAAGGCGAUGAUGGUUAACCGGCCUGAGAGGGUGUUCGGUCACAUUGGAACUGAGACACGGUCCAGACUCCUACGGGAGGCAGCAGUGGGGAAUAUUGCGCAAUGGGCGAAAGCCUGACGCAGCGACGCCGCGUGGAGGAUGAAGGUCUUAGGAUUGUAAACUUCUGUUAAGUGGGAAAAAAGACUCGUUCCUAAUACGAACGAGGGAUGAUGGUACCACUAGAGAAAGCACCGGCUAAUCUCGUGCCAGCAGCCGCGGUAAUACGAGAGGUGCGAGCGUUAUUCGGAUUUAUUGGGUGUAAAGGGUGCGUAGACGGCGCGUUAAGUUUGUUGUUAAAUCCUCCGGCUCAACCGGAGAUAUGCGGCAAAUACUGGCGUGCUAGAGGAUGGAAGAGAGAAGUGGAAUUCUUGGAGUAGCGGUAAAAUGCGUAGAUCUCAAGAGGAACACCGAUGGCGAAGGCAGCUUCUUGGUCCAUUCCUGACGUUGAGGCACGAA
rnacentral:rRNA from 1 species